rnacentral:snoRNA from 1 species
UUCUGAUCAAAAGCUUGUUUUGCUGCCUGCCCCAUGGCGAUUGACAGUUCAGAGAGAGGAUGCAUGAAGGCUUCCCAGUGUUUGGAGGAACCAUAGAGGACCCUGACAAAUGAUGCUACUUUACCACU